AGUGGCGGACGGGUGAGUAACGCGUGGGCAACCUGCCCCAGUACAGGGGAUAACAGUUAGAAAUGACUGCUAACACCGCAUAAGCGCACAGGGCCGCAUGGCCCGGUGUGAAAAACUCCGGUGGUAUGGGAUGGGCCCGCGUCUGAUUAGCCAGUUGGCGGGGUAACGCCCACCAAAGCGACGAUCAGUAGCCGACCUGAGAGGGUGACCGGCCACAUUGGGACUGAGACACGGCCCAAACUCCUACGGGAGGCAGCAG
rnacentral:rRNA from 1 species